UACGGAGGGUGCAAGCAUUGAUCGGAAUUACUGGGCGUAAAGGGCGCGUAGGCGGCUUAUUAAGUCAGAUGUGAAAUUCCGGGGCUCAACCCCGGAGCUGCAUUUGAAACUGAUGAGUUAGUGGCUAGUAAGGGAAAACAGAAUUCCACGUGUAGCGGUGAAAUGCGUAGAUAUGUGGAAGAAUACCGGUGGUGAAGACGGUUUUCUGUGCUAAGCCAGACGCUGAGGCGCGAAAGCUAGGGGAGCAAACAGG
rnacentral:rRNA from 1 species